rnacentral:rRNA from 1 species
AUUGAACGCUGGCGGCAUGCCUUACACAUGCAAGUCGAACGGCAGCAUGAUCUCGCUUGCUAGAUUGAUGGCGAGUGGCGAACGGGUGAGUAAUACAUCGGAACGUGCCCUGUAGUGGGGGAUAACUAGUCGAAAGAUUAGCUAAUACCGCAUACGACCUGAGGGUGAAAGUGGGGGACCGCAAGGCCUCAUGCUAUAGGAGCGGCCGAUGUCUGAUUAGCUAGUUGGUGAGGUAAAGGCUCACCAAGGCGACGAUCAGUAGCUGGUCUGAGAGGACGAUCAGCCACACUGGGACUGAGACACGGCCCAGACUCCUACGGGAGGCAGCAGUGGGGAAUUUUGGACAAAGGGCGAAAGCCUGAUCCAGCAAUGCCGCGUGUGUGAAGAAGGCCUUCGGGUUGUAAAGCACUUUUGUCCGGAAAGAAAUGGCUCUGGUUAAUACCUGGGGUCGAUGACGGUACCGGAAGAAUAAGGACCGGCUAACUACGUG